UACAGAGGUGGCAAGCGUUGUUCGGAAUUACUGGGCGUAAAGGGCGCGUAGGCGGCCUUCUAAGUCAGACGUGAAAUCCCUCGGCUUAACCGGGGAACUGCGUCUGAUACUGGAUGGCUUGAGUUUGGGAGAGGGAUGCGGAAUUCCAGGUGUAGCGGUGAAAUGCGUAGAUAUCAGGAGGAACACCGGUGGCGAAGGCGGGUCUCUGGGCCGAUACUGACGCUGAGGAGCGAAAGCGUGGGGAGCGAACAGG
rnacentral:rRNA from 1 species